rnacentral:rRNA from 1 species
UACGUAGGGGGCAAGCGUUGUCCGGAUUUAUUGGGCGUAAAGGGCUCGUAGGCGGCCAACUAAGUCGGACGUGAAAUCCCUCAGCUUAACUGGGGAACUGCGUCCGAUACUGGAUGGCUUGGAUUCGGGAGAGGAAUGCGGAAUUCCCGGUGUAGCGGUGAAAUGCGCAGAUAUCGGGAAGAACACCCGUGGCGAAGGCGGCUCUCUGGGACGGUACUGACGCUGAGACGCGAAAGCGUGGGGAGCGAACAGG